GACGAACGCUGGCGGCGUGCCUAAUACAUGCAAGUCGAGCGGACUGGAGGGAGCUUGCUCCCAAAGGUCAGCGGCGGACGGGUGAGUAACACGUGGGUAACCUGCCUGGCAGACUGGGAUAACGCUUGGAAACGAGUGCUAAUACCAGAUAGGCUGCUUGAUCGCAUGAUCGAGCAGGGAAAGAGGCUAUCGCCUCACUGUCAGAUGGAACCGCGGCGCAUUAGCUAGUUGGUGAGGUAACGGCUCACCAAGGCGACGAUGCGUAGCCGACCUGAGAGGGUGACCGGCCACACUGGGACUGAGACACGGCCCAGACUCCUACGGGAGGCAGCAGUAGGGAAUCUUCCACAAUGGGCGCAAGCCUGAUGGAGCAACGCCGCGUGAGUGAUGAAGGCCUUCGGGUUGUAAAACUCUGUCUUCUGUGACGAAACAGCCUGUGAGUGGAAAGCUCAGGCCCUGACGGUACCUGCAGAAAAAGGACCGGCUAACUACGUGCCAGCCGCCGCCGUAAAAC
rnacentral:rRNA from 1 species